rnacentral:rRNA from 1 species
UACGGAAGGCAGCAGUGGGGAAUAUUGCACAAUGGGCGCAAGCCUGAUGCAGCCAUGCCGCGUGUAUGAAGAAGGCCUUCGGGUUGUAAAGUACUUUCAGUCGUGAGGAAGGUGUUAAGGUUAAUAACCUUAGCAAUUGACGUUAGCGACAGAAGAAGCACCGGCUAACUCCGUGCCAGCAGCCGCGGUAAUACGGAGGGUGCGAGCGUUAAUCGGAAUUACUGGGCGUAAAGGGCACGCAGGCGGUUAAUUAAGUUGGAUGUGAAAUCCCCGGGCUUAACCUGGGAAUGGCAUUCAAGACUGGUUAGCUAGAGUCUUGUAGAGGGGGUAGAAUUCCAUGUGUAGCGGUGAAAUGCGUAGAGAUGUGGAGGAAUACCGGUGGCGAAGGCGGCCCCUGGACAAAGACUGACGCUCAUGUGCGAAAGCGCGGGGAGCAAAC